rnacentral:tRNA from 1 species
AAUUAUUUAGUUUAAAAAAAAUAAAUGUUUUGAAAACAUUAGAUAAGAAAUUCUUAAUAAUUG